UAAAGGGUGCGUAGGCGGCCUGUUAAGUCAGGGGUGAAAGACGGUAGCUCAACUAUCGCAGUGCCCUUGAUACUGAUGGGCUUGAAUGGACUAGAGGUAGGCGGAAUGAGACAAGUAGCGGUGAAAUGCAUAGAUAUGUCUCAGAACACCGAUUGCGAAGGCAGCUUACUAUGGUCUUAUUGACGCUGAGGCACGAAAGCGUGGGGAUCAAACAGGAUUAGAACCCCAGU
rnacentral:rRNA from 1 species